rnacentral:rRNA from 1 species
UACGUAGGUGGCAAGCGUUACUCGGAAUCACUAGGCGUAAAGCGCAGGUAGGCGGUUCGGUAAGUCUUUUGUGAAAGCUCCUGGCUCAACUGGGAGAGGUCAAAGGAAACUACCGGGCUAGAGUGUGGUAGGGGAUACUGGAAUUCCUGGUGUAGCGGUGAAAUGCGUAGAUAUCAGGAGGAACACCGGUGGCGAAGGCGGGUCUCUGGGCCGAUACUGACGCUGAGGAGCGAAAGCGUGGGGAGCAAACAGG